GACGAACGCUGGCGGCGUGCCUAACACAUGCAAGUCGAGCGGAGUUGUCUUUAACACUGAGCACUCAGGAAUGAGUGUUAAGUGUUGAAGACAGCUUAGCGGCGGACGGGUGAGUAACGCGUGGGCAACCUGCCUCUCGGAGGGUAGAGUUGAGAGGUUGGAAGUUGGAGAAAGAGAAGAUCUUUUAUCUAAUUUCUAACUUCUCACAUCUAACCUCUAAACUGGGGGAUAACACAGGGAAACUUGUGCUAAUACCGCAUAACAUAUUGAAAGGACAUCCUUUUAAUAUCAAAAGGAGCAAUCCGGUGAGAGAUGGGCCCCGCGUCCAAUUAGCUAGUUGGUGAUGUAAUGGACCACCAAGGCGACGAUUGGUAGCCGAACUGAGAGGUUGAUCGGCCACAUUGGGACUGAGAUACGGCCCAGACUCCUACGGGAGGCAGCAGUGGGGAAUAGUUGCGCAAUGGGGGAACCCUGACGCAGCAACGCCGCGUGAAGGAUA
rnacentral:rRNA from 1 species